AACGCACAUUGCGCCCGCCAGUAUUCUGGCGGGCAUGCCUGUUCGAGCGUCAUUUCAACCCUCAAGCCCGGCUUGGUGUUGGGAACCGAUCGGCUAGAUCCGAUCGCUCCCGAAAUCUAGUGGCGAUCCCACCAACGCAUCCUUGGCGUAGUAACAUACCCGCUCUGGAACUUGGUGUGGUCAUGCCGUUAAACCCCCCACUUUCAAAGGUUGACCUCGGAUCAGGUAGGAAUACCCGCUGAACUUAA
rnacentral:misc_RNA from 1 species